UACGGAGGAUCCGAGCGUUAUCCGGAUUUAUUGGGUUUAAAGGGUGCGCAGGCGGGAGAUUAAGUCGGCGGUGAAAUUUUGCAGCUCAACUGUAAAAGUGCCUUCGAUACUGGUUUCCUUGAGUGUGGAUGAAGUAGGCGGAAUUUGUGGUGUAGCGGUGAAAUGCUUAGAUAUCACGAGGAACUCCGAUUGCGCAGGCAGCUUACUAAACCACUACUGACGCUCAGGCACGAAGGCGUGGGGAUCAAACAGGAUUAGAUACCCUGGUAGUCCACGCAGUAAACGAUGAUUACUGGCUGUUUGCGAUACAAUGUAAGCGGCUGAGCGAAAGCGUUAAGUAAUCCACCUGGGGAGUACGUUCGCAAGAAUGAAACUCAAAGGAAUUGACGGGGGCCCGCACAAGCGGAGGAACAUGUGGUUUAAUUCGAUGAUACGCGAGGAACCUUACCCGGGCUUGAAAUGCGGUGGACCGGCGGAGAGAUCCGCCCUCCCUUCGGGGCCACCGUGUAGGUGCUGCAUGGUU
rnacentral:rRNA from 1 species